rnacentral:rRNA from 1 species
CCUACGGGUGGCAGCAGUGGGGAAUAUUGGGCAAUGGGCGCAAGCCUGACCCAGCAACGCCGCGUGAAGGAAGAAGGCUUUCGGGUUGUAAACUUCUUUUCUGAGGGACGAAGAAAGUGACGGUACUCCAGGAAUAAGCCACGGCUAACUACGUGCCAGCAGCCGCGGUAAUACGUAGGCGGCAAGCGUUAUCUGGAUUUAUUGGGUGUAAAGGGCGUGUAGGCGGGAAAGCAAGUCAGAUGUGAAAACUCAGGGCUCAACCCUGAGCCUGCAUUGGACACUGUUUUUCUUGAGUGCUGGAGAGGCAAUCGGAAUUCCGUGUGUAGCGGUGAAAUGCGUAGAUAUAGGGAGGAACACCGGUGGCGAAGGUGGAUUGCUGGACAGAAACUGACGCUGAGGCGCGAAAGCGUGGGGAGCAAACAGGAUUAGAUACCCUUGUAGUC